UUUUUUUUUUUUUUUUUUUUUUUUAGUAGAGACAGGGUUUCACCAUGUUGGCCAUGAACUCCUGACCUCAGGUGAUCCACCUGCCUCGGCCUCCUAAAGUGCUGGCAUUACAGGUGUGAGCCACCACACCCAGUCGAGACUAUUUAAAUAGAGCGGCCAGGGAAGGUUCCAUGGGGGAAAUGGAACAGAAACAGUGGGUACUUUCUCUGUUUCUUGUUUAUAUCAUUGCAGUAAACGCUACUUUCAUUUUUGGCUCGUUGGUCUAAUUGGCUACUCUGAUACCUGUUAGCUCAGCUAGUGCUCUCUGUCUCUCUCCCAGCCCGUUUCCUGACAAUUCUAGGUCCAUUUUCCUACAGAUCUUUCAGCUUUGCCCCAUUCCACACAUUAGCUUC
rnacentral:lncRNA from 1 species